rnacentral:rRNA from 1 species
UGGGGAAUAUUGGACAAUGGGCGAAAGCCUGAUCCAGCAACGCCGCGUGAGGGAUGACGGCCUUCGGGUUGUAAACCUCUUUCAGUACAGACGAAGCGCAAGUGACGGUAUGUACAGAAGAAGGACCGGCCAACUACGUGCCAGCAGCCGCGGUAAUACGUAGGGUCCGAGCGUUGUCCGGAAUUAUUGGGCGUAAAGGGCUCGUAGGCGGUUUGUCGCGUCGGGAGUGAAAACUUCGGGCUUAACUCGGAGCUUGCUUUCGAUACGGGCAGACUUGAGGCAUUCAGGGGAGAACGGAAUUCCUGGUGUAGCGGUGAAAUGCGCAGAUAUCAGGAGGAACACCGGUGGCGAAGGCGGUUCUCUGGGAAUGUUCUGACGCUGAGGAGCGAAAGUGUGGGGAGCGAACAGGAUUAGAUACCCCCGUAGUCC